rnacentral:rRNA from 1 species
AUGCACUUUUUGUUUUACCUGUGCUUGCAUACUCAUCCUUCUGCUUUUGUUAACAGCCUGCAGGUGAAGCCCAGCAAGAGGGCAAAGAAGAACAAGCCGUCCCAAGACCCGGUGGUCACUGAACCGGCGAUUGACUCAUCCGCUCCUGAUAGCUCCACUCAUCCGCCACCGUCUGAGCCAGCUUUCGGUAUUCUGGUGUCAACCUCUGACCCGCCUGCAGAAGACGCUGUCCAUGAUUCUGACAACCCGGAAACUCAUAGCCCGGCGAAGAGAAAUGACCCGGAAGUUGAAAUUGUGAAAUCCUAG